UCGCGAGUUUCAAGAAUCUCUCAAGUCGUAGAAACGCGUGUAAUGAAUUGGGUGCGUACUGCAUUGCAAUGGGAUGUGGGUAUUGUACAAAGAACGGUGUUCCUAAAUUGCGCCUAAGGUCAAGGUGUCGAAACAGCGAAAGGUGUGUCGUUCUGCUAGAUCGAUAAGACAAUUUAUUGAAUAUGCUUUACUGGGAUUGUAAUAAUCAAGCAAUUAUAAAAGAAGUGUAUAUUUCUUUGUAUAUUGUUAACUGCUCUUAAUAAAAGAAAAUUGUUUGC
rnacentral:lncRNA from 1 species